rnacentral:rRNA from 1 species
GAUGAACGCUGGCGGCGUGCCUAAUACAUGCAAGUCGAGCGAACAGACGAGGAGCUUGCUCCUCUGACGUUAGCGGCGGACGGGUGAGUAACACGUGGAUAACCUACCUAUAAGACUGGGAUAACUUCGGGAAACCGGAGCUAAUACCGGAUAAUAUAUUGAACCGCAUGGUUCAAUAGUGAAAGACGGUUUUGCUGUCACUUAUAGAUGGAUCCGCGCCGCAUUAGCUAGUUGGUAAGGUAACGGCUUACCAAGGCAACGAUGCGUAGCCGACCUGAGAGGGUGAUCGGCCACACUGGAACUGAGACACGGUCCAGACUCCUACGGGAGGCAGCAGUAGGGAAUCUUCCGCAAUGGGCGAAAGCCUGACGGAGCAACGCCGCGUGAGUGAUGAAGGUCUUCGGAUCGUAAAACGCUGUUAUUAGGGAAGAACAAAUGUGUAAGUAACUAUGCACGUCUUGACGGUACCUAAUCAGAAAGCCACGGCUAACUACGU